rnacentral:rRNA from 1 species
UGCCUGUAAGACUGGGAUAACUCCGGGAAACCGGAGCUAAUACCGGAUAGUUCCUUGAACCGCAUGGUUCAAGGAUGAAAGACGGUUUCGGCUGUCACUUACAGAUGGACCCGCGGCGCAUUAGCUAGUUGGUGGGGUAAUGGCUCACCAAGGCGACGAUGCGUAGCCGACCUGAGAGGGUGAUCGGCCACACUGGGACUGAGACACGGCCCAGACUCCUACGGGAGGCAGCAGUAGGGAAUCUUCCGCAAUGGACGAAAGUCUGACGGAGCAACGCCGCGUGAGUGAUGAAGGUUUUCGGAUCGUAAAGCUCUGUUGUUAGGGAAGAACAAGUGCGAGAGUAACUGCUCGCACCUUGACGGUACCUAACCAGAAAGCCACGGCUAACUACGUGCCAGCAGCCGCGGUAAUACGUAGGUGGCAAGCGUUGUCCGGAAUUAUUGGGCGUAAAGGGCUCGCAGGCGGUUUCUUAAGUCUGAUGUGAAAGCCCCCGGCUCAACCGGGGAGGGUCAUUGGAAACUGGGAAACUUGAGUGCAGAAGAGGAGAGUGGAAUUCCACGUGUAGCGGUGAAAUGCGUAGAGAUGUGGAGGAACACCAGUGGCGAAGGCGACUCUCUGGUCUGUAACUGACGCUGAGGAGCGAAAGCGUGGGGAGCGAACAGGAUUAGAUACCCUGGUAGUCCACGCCGUAAACGAUGAGUGCUAAGUGUU